UACGUAUGGGGCAAGCGUUAUCCGGAUUUACUGGGUGUAAAGGGAGCGUAGGUGUUUGGCAAGUCAGAUGUGAAAGCCCGGGGCUCAACCCGGUAGUGCAUUGAACUGCCAAACUAGAGUGCAGGAGAGGUAAGUGGAAUUCCUAGUGUAGCGGUGAAAUGCGUAGAUAUUAGGAGGAACACCAGUGGCGAAGGCGACUUACUGGACUGUAACUGACGCUGAGGCGCGAAAGCGUGGGGAGCAAACAGGG
rnacentral:rRNA from 1 species